AGAUACCAGGGUCACAAUAUGAGCAUAAAAGUGGGGCGUAAGCACCACGAUAUGUGAAUCUUGGGUAGGAUUGUGGGAGCACGUAGUGCGUAACAAUCCGUAGGUAUCA
rnacentral:sRNA from 1 species